GAAUAUUUCUUCAAUUGAUGAUUAAUAAUUUGAUUUUAGUGUAAAUAAAUGCUGAGAAGGACAAUCAAAAUUAAAACCUUCAUGAAAGUUUAAAAUAUUCACCAAAAUUGAUAAAGAAAAUUAAUAAAAUGAGUUUUGAAGAGUUAUCUCCCGUAGUGGAACUCUCCAUACAAAAAAGGGGGAAAAUGAUAUUGCAACAUGGCAGGGGCAGAAAAACAAUGUGAUUUCAGCAAUUUUUCAAACAUUUCAAGCAGUGAUGGCCCAAUAAAUUCAUUUAUAAGAAUAUACUAAGGAUCUGUCAAACCAUUUGCGUUUACUCAAAUCUCGGAACAUACCCUAGCUGGGUUGCAUGGAAAAUUUAUGACGUACCAGAGGCGAUCGUUUUGCUGCAUUCUGUAGGCCUAUAGAAAUGGUAUUUUUUCCAUUGACAUUUCUAGCACAUUAGAAUUAUGAGUAUGUCAAAGACAAUUAAGGAUUAAAAUGGCGAAGAAGUAAGUCAAGGUGCUGCCGUCCCGAUCAUAAGGAAGAAAGCAAAAGCAGACCGAUGGGCUAUCCCUAUCUUUUGUAAAGAAUACUGGUUGAAAAUGAGGGAGACAAUAUACCAGUUGGAUCAGCAACAGUUGUCCAUGUGCUGCAGUAUUUAUUGGAUCCAACCAAAUCAGAAGAGAAAACCCUGAAGCAAAUUCAUAUGGUAAUACAGGGUUUUCUAAGAGAGGAGGAUCAGUGGAGUGGAACUGUUUCAUUUACCCAACAUCUUGAGCUUACUGAUCAAGGGAAAGAUGAAGCAGGUUACAAAUGAAAGUUCGGCUGGAAGUAUAGGGAGUAAUACUCAACAAUACAUGUAUUACCUCUGUCCAGACUCAUCAUAACAGAAAGUAUUUUCAAAAUGUUGCAAUCACGAAAAUCUCCUGGGAGUUGGAAAUCAGUCUUACAGAAAUUCAAGAUCAAGUAGGAACACUGCAGCAAAUUUAUAUGAUACAAGAUGUGAAAGCAUUAGAGAGUCUCAAAAUUUA